UCCUGGGAAAUGAUAAUUCUCCCUAUUGCAAAAAUCUAACAAAUAAUAUAGAAUCAUAUAUUAAUUGUUUCCAUAUUUAGGAAUUGGACGAACAAUGCAAGACAGAUGAAGGGAAAUAUUUCCCUCCUCGUAAAAGGAAAAAGAGACGAUUUUUGUUACCUGAGAAAUAGAAUUCGAGCACUGUAAUCAGAUAAGAUGUCAACGAGACUACUUUCGUUUUAACUCUAGAAGCCGUUGAUUGUUGUUCCGGCAAACAUCUUUGCUCUCGAGCUUCUUCGCCAAUCCACAUGAAAUCGCUGAGCUGCUACAAAGCUUGCUAAUUACAAAAACUUCGGUUGCAAAAUCAAGUAACUCCAGGCCGUGAAUCUUACUUUUAAUACCACUGAAGCAAUCCCCAGCUAGUGAGGAAGAUGGGCUCUGAGGAAGGAAGUCCACAUUGGAGUGUCUUUGAUGAAAUCAAAACGAUACCACCAACUCCAGACGCUCUCAUGGCAAAGAUUGAUACAGGUAUUACUAAUUUGGAGUAUGCUCGUGCCACUGCAGUCCUCGACUCUCCGUCUCCAUCCCAUUUAAAGAGUGAGAUUCCCAAUGGAGGUGCAACUCCUCGAUAUGAUGCCCGAAUGGCUGAUGAAGCUUAUAAGGCUGGAUGUGCUGCAUUAGCUGCAGGCAAGCUUGAUGAGGCCCUUCAUUCCUUGAACGUUUCUCUUUCAAAAUGUCCUCCUGAUAAGACCUCUGCUGUUGCCAAGCUUCAGUCUCUCAUUUCUCUUACAUCACAGCAACUCCAAAAAUUGCCCACUUGACUUGAUAGCGUGGCUUAAGCAUCAUGAUCAGACAGUGAGUUGGGUGGAUACUGUUCCAAAUUUCAGCAGCAACUGAAUGAAAUGAAGUAUAGAAACAUUAAGCUGUAUAUAAUUGCACCAUUAUCUUCAUGAAAAUUGUGAAAAGACUUGUCAAUAUCUGAUCUAUUUUGUAAUAGACUAAUUUCUUUAGCUGUCUAUUAUUGUAUAAAAGUUGUUACAUACUUGUUCUUUGUUUUGAGAUGACUAUGUUUUGUGUAAUAGACUCACUUUCUUGCUUCA